CUACACAUCAGUGAGCGGCAGCACAGAGGAACUUGUUCCUUGUGGUGGCGAGCGGCGGACGGGUGAGUAAUGCCUAGGAAAUUGCCCUGAUGUGGGGGAUAACCAUUGGAAACUGAUGGCUAAUACCGCAUGAUGCCUACGGGCCAAAUGAGGGGGACCUUCGGGCCUCUCGCGCUCAGGAUAUGCCUAGGUGGNGAUUAGCUAUGUUAGGUGAGUGUAAUGGCUCACCAAGGCGACGAUCCCUAGCUGGAUCUGAGAGGAUGAUCAGCCACACUGGGAACUGAGACACUGGUCCAGACUCCUACGGGAGAGCAGCAGUGGGUGAAUAUUGCACUAAUGGGCGCAACGUCCUGAUGCAGCCAUGCCGCGUGUAUGAAGAAUGGCCUUCGGGUUGUAAAGUACUUUCANUCGUGAGGAAGGUGGUGUUGUUAAUAGCAGCAUCAUUUGACGUUAGCGACAGAAGAAGCACCGGCUAACUCCGUGCCAGCAGCCGCGGUAAUACGGAGGGUGCGAGCGUUAAUCGGAAUUACUGGGCGUAAAGCGCAUGCAGGUGGUUGGAUUAAGUCAGAUUGUGAAAGCCCCGGGGCUCAACCUCGGAACCGCAUUUGAAACUGGUUCACUAGAGUACUG
rnacentral:rRNA from 2 species